GCAGAAAUGAAAUUCCUCUGUUAGAAUUGCCCAGAGCUAUGGUUCCCUUGCUGUUUGAGUCACUUUGCUAAAUUGCUAUACAGGAAAUGUAAAUUUAGAUCAACAAGGCUUCCAGCAUAUGAUCUGAGGAGAGCCCUAAAAUAGCAGAUUAUCCUCUCUUGCUGCUCAUGGAAUGCUGAUGCUCUAUAAGAGGUAUGGACUAACUAGCUGGAUAUGAGGAACAAGUGGUCCUAGUCAUGUCUAUGCCACAACCCACAGCCAACCAACUGCAAGACAUGUGAGUAAAGCCUUCAACAAUUAGCCAGAUGAAAGAUACUAGCCUAGAUCACCUGCACCUGAAUAAUCCCUAGGAAAAUCAUCAGCUUACGUACCUUUAAGUCC
rnacentral:lncRNA from 10 species